rnacentral:rRNA from 1 species
UACGUAGGUGGCAAGCGUUGUCCGGAUUUACUGGGCGUAAAGAGCGCGCAGGCGGUCGUUCAAGUCGCGUGUGAAAGCCCCCGGCUCAACUGGGGAGGGUCACGCGAUACUGAUCGACUGGAAGGCAGGAGAGGGUAGUGGAAUUCCCGGUGUAGUGGUGAAAUGCGUAGAUAUCGGGAGGAACACCAGUGGCGAAGGCGACUACCUGGCCUGUUCUUGACGCUGAGACGCGAAAGCGUGGGGAGCAAACAGG